AGUGAACGCUGGCGGUAGGCCUAACACAUGCAAGUCGGACGGCAGCACAGUAAGAGCUUGCUCUUACGGGUGGCGAGUGGCGGACGGGUGAGGAAUACAUCGGAAUCUACUUUUUCGUGGGGGAUAACGUAGGGAAACUUACGCUAAUACCGCAUACGACCUACGGGUGAAAGCAGGGGAUCUUCGGACCUUGCGCGAUUGAAUGAGCCGAUGUCGGAUUAGCUAGUUGGCGGGGUAAAGGCCCACCAAGGCGACGAUCCGUAGCUGGUCUGAGAGGAUGAUCAGCCACACUGGAACUGAGACACGGUCCAGACUCCUACGGGAGGCAGCAGUGGGGAAUAUUGGACAAUGGGCGCAAGCCUGAUCCAGCCAUACCGCGUGGGUGAAGAAGGCCUUCGGGUUGUAAAGCCCUUUUGUUGGGAAAGAAGAGCAGCAGGUUAAUACCCCGCUGUUCUGACGGUACCCAAAGAAUAAGCACCGGCUAACUUCGUG
rnacentral:rRNA from 1 species